UACGUAGGGUGCGAGCGUUGUCCGGAAUUAUUGGGCGUAAAGAGCUCGUAGGCGGCUUGUCACGUCGGAUGUGAAAACCCGGGGCUCAACCCCGGGCCUGCAUUCGAUACGGGCAGGCUAGAGUUCGGCAGGGGAGACUGGAAUCCUGGUGUAGCGGUGAAAUGCGCAGAUAUCAGGAGGAACACCGGUGGCGAAGGCGGGUCUCUGGGCCGAUACUGACGCUGAGGAGCGAAAGCGUGGGGAGCAAACAGG
rnacentral:rRNA from 1 species